GGGGCCUAGCUACUCGGAGACAUUAAUGAAUGAAAUUGAGUGGGUUUGUAGCUGGCCUUUCACCGGGCAUGUGCACACCUCAUUCGACCACCUUCUACACCCCUGUGCACUUCUCAUGAGUUGGGCCGCGUCUGAAACACGACAAAGUCCGGCUCGUGUGUUUUAUACAAACGAAUCAUGUUACAGAAUGUCACUACCAUGCUUUGAAGCAUAUAAUACAACUUUCAACAACGGAUCUCUUGGCUCUCGCAUCGAUGAAGAACGCAGCGAAAUGCGAUAAGUAAUGUGAAUUGCAGAAUUCAGUGAAUCAUCGAAUCUUUGAACGCACCUUGCGCUCCUUGGUAUUCCGAGGAGCAUGCUUGUUUGAGUGUCAUGGUCUUCUCAACCCUUCCGUCUUUUUCACCGGAGACUGUCGGGCUUGGAUGUGGAGGUCUUGCAGGCAUCUGGAUCUUUUGAUUCAGAAGUCGGCUCCUCUGAAAUGCAUUAGCUUGAAUAGUACCAAGCAUGAUUCAGCGUGAUAAUUGUCUACGUUGCUUCGUCUCGGUGAAUUAAAUGUUCAAGCUUCUAACCGUCCCUCGGGACAAUCUCUGAACAUCUGACCUCAAAUCAAGUAGGACUACCCGCUGAACUUAAGCAUAUCUAAAAACGGGAAGAAAAGGGG
rnacentral:rRNA from 1 species